AAUCAACGCUGGCGGCGCGCUUAACACAUGCAAGUCGAACGAGAAAGGGGAGCAAUCCCUGAGUAAAGUGGCGUACGGGUGAGUAACACGUGGAUGAUCUACCUCUUGGCGGGGAAUACCUCUGGGAAACCGGAGACAAUACCGCAUAAGCUCGGAAGAGGAAACCUGAAAAGGGCCGAGAGAGGAGUCCGCGGCCGAUUAGCUAGUUGGUAGGGUAAAGCCUACCAAGGCAAAGAUCGGUAGCCGGCCNGAGAGGGCACACGGCCACACUGGCACUGAAACACGGGCCAGACUCCUACGGGAGGCAGCAGGUGGGGAAUCUUGCACAAGUGGGGCAACCCUGAUGCAGCGACGCCGCGUGAGCGAUGAA
rnacentral:rRNA from 1 species